UAGCGAAACAUGCUCUCCCCGCAAUUGUGCACGCGAGCCGCGUGGUUCUUGCCAGUACACUGCAGUUUAGCUCUGCACUCUAUUCUUCCCCAACAAUAGUGCUUGCUGUGCACCUUUACACCCUGUGAGACAUUUACAACCAUAAAAUUCAUGUAGGCUGUACACCAUGGUUACGAGAAGCUUUAUUGUCUUCCCCAAUUCCAAAUGGCAGGGUUCAAUCCAAAUCGCAUCGUUGCAUCAAAACCCUAGCCAUCAGAUUAUUUGAUACCUCUGAAUUCCUGUUACUUUCUGUUGCUCAGAGUUGCGUUUUUUGGUGAUUGAAUUGCAAUUCUCUGUCAAUAGAUCAAAGAUACAGUAGAGGAGUUUAAAAGGAAGUGAGACUGCUGAAGGUGGAAAUGGAAGCUGCUCAAGUUUUUCUGGCAGAGCAGUUUUCUAGUCCUAGAUUGGAUUCUGUAUCAGCAUCCUCUGCAAAGAAGCAGUACGAUUCAUCUACAAGAACCAGGAGAAGAAUUUGGGAUAUAAUUACCUCCCGUUGGGACAAAAUAUCAUGUCGCAUUCAUUAGCCUUGCAAGUGAAAGUGCUGGUUACAUCAUUAAAUGCAUAGCUUUAAGCUCUU